AUGCCCGUCAUCUCCCCCCUUCCUUUCUCGCUCGCGCCAACGCCGGCUGCUCCCGCGGCGUCGCGGGCUCGCUGGAACAGCUUCCUGCACCACUGGCGUUUGCGAGUUGAAACAAAAGCAGGUAUGUGCAGCAACGGUUUUGAUUCAACUAACUGCCUUCGUAUGGAGGAGGUUGAGCCAAAUUUAUCCCCAUUUCUCCACAAGCUUUUUAAAGAGUGGGAUGACCGCAAUGCGAGGGGCUUGUUUCACCACGACAUCACUACGUCUGAGGCCAAGGUGCUACCUGGAGAACACAAUUUUGUGGCAACAUUGAUAGAAGGGCGUGACCAGAAGAAGCGGCCAACUGAAUUUGGAAUGAACCAGGUCCUCCAACCAUUUCAUAGUGAGAAGUUCAAUUUCACUAAAGUUAAACCAGAGGAGGUGAUCUUCAGGUUCCAAGAAACUGAGAAUGAUUCUGCCCAGUAUUUUGACGGAACUCCUCCCACUGUUUCAGCUUCUCCUAGCUGCAUUUUGAUCAACGUGAGCCCAAUCGGGUACUGUCAUGUGCUUUUGACCCCUCAAAUCCAGGAAUGCUUACCGCAAAGGGUUGAUCAAGAGAGCUUCUUACUGGCCAUGUAUGUCGCAAGGGAGGCAAGGAAUCCAUUCUUCAGAGUUGGCUAUAACAGUCUGGGUGCCUUUGCAACAAUCAAUCACCUCCAUUUCCAAGCAUACUAUCUGAAAGUGCAAUAUCCAGUCGAGAAUGCGCCGACAGAGAGAAUCACAGUCGUACGGAACGGCGUCAGCAUUUCUCAGCUGGUGCGGUACCCAGUAAGCGGCUUUGUAUUUGAAGGCGGAGCGAGCCUGGAGGAUCUGUCACAGGCCGUCUCAGAUGCAUGUAUCUUCUUGCAAGAGAAUAACAGACCUUUCAAUGUCCUUAUCUCUGAAUCUGGCAAGAGAGUAUUCCUUCUACUACAGUGCUACGCUGAGAAGCAGGCUUCCGGAAAGGCGAGCCAGGAGUUCCUCGACAUGAGAAUCAAUCCAGCGGUCUGGGAGCUCAGCGGGCAUUUGGUUUUGAAGAGGAGGAAGGACUACGACGAAGCAUCCGAGGCAACACUAUGCAGGUUUUUGGUUGAAGCGUCCCUGUCUGAAGCAGAGUUCCAGGAGCUGAAGAGGUGCCUCUUGGAGUUCCUGGCCACUGCAAGUCCUGAAAAGUAG
rnacentral:rRNA from 1 species